rnacentral:rRNA from 1 species
UGGGGAAUUUUGGACAAUGGGCGAAAGCCUGAUCCAGCCAUGCCGCGUGAGUGAAGAAGGCCUUCGGGUUGUAAAGCUCUUUUAGUCGGGAAGAAAAGAUCAUAAUGAACAAUUAUGAUUCAUGACGGUACCGACAGAAAAAGCACCGGCUAACUACGUGCCAGCAGCCGCGGUAAUACGUAGGGUGCGAGCGUUAAUCGGAAUUACUGGGCGUAAAGGGAGCGCAGGCGGUUUUGUAAGUCAGAUGUGAAAUCCCCGGGCUUAACCUGGGAAUUGCGUUUGAAACUGCAAGACUAGAGUGCCGCAGAGGGGAGUGGAAUUCCAUGUGUAGCAGUGAAAUGCGUAGAGAUGUGGAAGAACACCGAUGGCGAAGGCAGCUCCCUGGGUUGACACUGACGCUCAUGCACGAAAGCGUGGGGAGCAAACA